AACGGGUGAGUAAUACAUAAGUAACCUGCCCUAGACAGGGGGAUAACUAUUGGAAACGAUAGCUAAGACCGCAUAGGUACGGACACUGCAUGGUGACCGUAUUAAAAGUGCCUCAAAGCACUGGUAGAGGAUGGACUUAUGGCGCAUUAGCUGGUUGGCGGGGUAACGGCCCACCAAGGCGACGAUCGGUAGCCGGACUGAGAGGUUGAACGGCCACAUUGGGACUGAGACACGGCCCAGACUCCUACGGGAGGCAGCAUG
rnacentral:rRNA from 1 species